GACGUAGGGGGCCAGCGUUGCUCGGAAUUACUGGGCGUAAAGGGUUCGUAGGCGGUGCGGUAAGUCGGAAGUGAAAUCUCUGGGCUUAACUCAGAGGCUGCUUUCGAAACUGCCGUGCUAGAGUGCGGGAGAGGCGAGUGGAAUUGCAGGUGUAGCGGUGAAAUGCGUAGAUAUCUGCAGGAACACCCGUGGCGAAGGCGGCUCGCUGGACCGCAACUGACGCUGAUGCACGAAAGCUAGGGGAGCAAACAGG
rnacentral:rRNA from 1 species